rnacentral:rRNA from 1 species
UAGGGAAUCUUCCGCAAUGGACGCAAGUCUGACGGAGCAACGCCGCGUGAGUGAAGAAGGAUUUCGGUUCGUAAAACUCUGUUGUUAGAGAAGAACAGCGCAUAGAGUAACUGUUAUGCGUGUGACGGUAUCUAACCAGAAAGCCACGGCUAACUACGUGCCAGCAGCCGCGGUAAUACGUAGGUGGCAAGCGUUGUCCGGAUUUGUUGGGCGUAAAGCGAGCGCAGGCGGUCAAUUAAGUCUGAUGUGAAAGCCCCCGGCUCAACCGGGGAGGGUCAUUGGAAACUGGUUGAAUUGAGUGCAGAAGAGGAGAGUGGAAUUCCAUGUGUAGCGGUGAAAUGCGUAGAUAUAUGGAGGAACACCAGUGGCGAAGGCGACUCUCUGGUCUGUAACUGACGCUGAGGCUCGAAAGCGUGGGUAGCAAACAGG